UGCUGUUCUCAGGGCGGGGUGAAAGUCCCCACCGGCGGUAUCCCGACUUUGUGCGGGGAGCCCGCGAGCGCUUUUCCAUGGGGAAAAGGUCAGCAGAUCCGGUGAGAUGCCGGAGCCGACGGUUAUAGUCCGGAUGAAAGAGGAUCAUG
rnacentral:ncRNA from 2 species